CACCGGCAGCUCAAGUGGUGGCCAUUAUUAUUGGGCCUAAAGCGUUCGUAGCCGGCCUGAUAAGUCUCUGGUGAAAUCCUAUAGCUUAACUAUGGGAAUUGCUGGAGAUACUAUCAGGCUUGAGGUCGGGAGAGGUUAGGGGUACUCCCAGGGUAGGGGUGAAAUCCUAUAAUCCUGGGAGGACCACCUGUGGCGAAGGCGGCUAACUGGAACGAACCUGACGGUGAGGGACGAAAGCUAGGGGCGCGAA
rnacentral:rRNA from 1 species